rnacentral:rRNA from 1 species
GAUGAACGCUGGCGGCGUGCUUAACACAUGCAAGUCGAACGGAAAGGCCCUGCUUUUGUGGGGUGCUCGAGUGGCGAACGGGUGAGUAACACGUGAGUAACCCGCCCUUGACUUUGUGAUAACUUCAGGAAACUGGGGCUAAUACAGGAUAGGAGCUCCUGCUGCAUGGUGGGGGUUGGAAAGUUUCGGCGGUUGGGGAUGGACUCGCGGCUUAUCAGCUUGUUGGUGGAGUAGUGGCUUACCAAGGCUUAGACGGGUAGCCGGCCUGAGAGGGUAGCCGGCCACAUGAGGACUACGAUAGGGACCAGUCGCCAACGGGGGGCAGCGGUCGGGAAUAUGACACAGUGAGCGGAAGCGUGUGACGACAACGCCGCGAGCGUAAUGACGGCCUACUGGUUAUAAACCGCUUUCGCCUUAGACGAAGCGUGAGUGACGGUAAUGGGUAAAGAAGCACCGGCUAACUACGUG